rnacentral:tRNA from 1 species
AUGGCUCAAUGGUUAAGAGCACUGACUGCUCUUCCAGAGGUCCUGAGUUCAAUUCUCAGU